rnacentral:rRNA from 1 species
CCUACGGGAGGCAGCAGUGAGGAAUAUUGGUCAAUGGGCUUACGCCUGAACCAGCCAAGUCGCGUGAGGGAAGACUGCCCUAUGGGUUGUAAACCUCUUUUGUCAGGGAGCAACGCCGGCUACGUGUAGCCGGACUGAGAGUACCUGAAGAAAAAGCAUCGGCUAACUCCGUGCCAGCAGCCGCGGUAAUACGGAGGAUGCGAGCGUUAUCCGGAUUUAUUGGGUUGAAAGGGUGCGUAGGCGGAAUGCCAAGUCAGCGGGAAAAUCGCGGGGCGCAACGUCGCGCCGCCGUUGAAACUGGCGUUAUGGAGUGGGCGAGAAGUAUGCGGAAUGCGUGGUGUAGCGGUGAAAUGCAGAGAUAUCACGCAGAACUCCGAUUGCGAAGGCAGCAUACCGGCGCCCAACUGACGCUGAAGCACGAAAGCGUGGGUAUCGAACAGGAUUAGAUACCCCAGUAGUC